AGAGUUUGAUCCUGGCUCAGGAUGAACGCUGGCGGCGUGCUUAACACAUGCAAGUCGAACGAACGACUAUUAACAGAACCUUUCGGGGCGAAGAAUAUAGAAGUUAGUGGCGGACGGGUGCGUAACGCGUGGGUAAUCUGCCUUUGUCAAAGGAAUAACUAUUCGAAAGAAUAGCUAAAACCGUAUAACAUAUUAAUAGGGCAUCCUAAUAAUAUCAAAACGAUAGUGGACAAAGAUGAGCCCGCGUCUGAUUAGCUAGUUGGUGAGAUAAAAGCCCACCAAGGCAACGAUCAGUAGCCGACCUGAGAGGGUGAACGGCCACAUUGGAACUGAGACACGGUCCAAACUCCUACGGGAGGCAGCAGUGGGGAAUAUUGCACAAUGGGGGGAACCCUGAUGCAGCAACGCCGCGUGAGUGAAGAAGGCAUUCGUGUCGUAAAACUCUGUAGUAGGGGAAGAAAGAAAUGACAGUACCCUAAAAGAAAGCCCCGGCUAACUACGUGCCAGCAGCCGCGGUAAUACGUAGGGGGCAAGCGUUAUCCGGAAUAACUGGGCGUAAAGGGUGCGCAGGUGGUUUAACAAGUUAGUGGUGAAAGGCAUAGGCUCAACCAAUGUAAGCCAUUAAAACUGUUUAACUUGAGUGCAGGAGAGGAAAGUGGAAUUCCUAGUGUAGCGGUGAAAUGCGUAGAUAUUAGGAGGAAUACCAGUGGCGAAGGCGACUUUCUGGACUGCAACUGACACUGAGGCACGAAAGCGUGGGGAGCAAACAGGAUUAGAUACCCUGGUAGUCCACGCCGUAAACG
rnacentral:rRNA from 1 species